rnacentral:lncRNA from 1 species
UAAAGUUAGUGAGAAGGAGCACAAAGUACAUACAGUCUUAUUGUCUACCUGGCAUGGUGCAGAGGGCAGAAAGAAGACAAAGAACGAAGAUAAAAGAAGCCUUUUUCCUCAAGAAGAUUGUAAUCUAGUGGUGGAGCUGGAAAAUAAAGGAAAGCAGUGGCCAUGUAUGUCAUGAGGACAUUCCAGUAACCCCAUGUGGUAAGGAACCAAGUCAGCCUGCCAACAACCACUGAAAAACUGAGCCCUCCUGCUGACAGCCAUGUGAGAGGAACACCUGGGAAGUGGAUCCUCCAGGCCUGGUCAUACUUCAGAUGACUGCAGCCCAAGCCAACAUCUUGCUUGAGUGGAGCCUCAUGAGUGACUCAGUCAAAACCACACAGCUGAGAUAUUUCCAACCCACAGAUACUGAGAUAAUAAAUGUUUAUUGCUACUAGGUUUCCUUCCUUCCUUCCUUCCUUCCUUUUUCUCUUCUCUUCUCCUUCCUUCCUUCCUCCCUCCCUCUCCUCCUCCUCCGUCUUCUUCCUCUUCCUCUUCUUCCUCUUCCCCUUCCCCUUCCUCUUCCUCCUUCUUUCUUUCUUACUUUCUUUCUCUUUCUUUCUUUCUUUCUCUAUGAAAAUAUCAGGUGUACUAUAUUUUACCUGCCUUCAUGUAUAUUUGAAUAAUUCCAU